AGUGUCGUGAGCCCACAAAAUCUCAGAAAGAUCUUCAACAUCCUCUCAAGCAUGUCUGUUGAUGAUCCAGAGCAUCUGAAGAAUCAACAGACAUUGAUCGAAGGAGUUCGAUCAACAUCGACCGUCAAAAGGGCUCUACAACGAGCUAGCACUCGUGAGGAGUCGAUUGGACCAGGAGCUUCGUGUGGAUGAUCUGCAGAGGCCAG
rnacentral:lncRNA from 1 species